UGUACGUUUUUUGGAAAGGAAGCCCUUCAGGACAUUCCUCAGGAGCGAGUCAGGGAUGGAGGCGGGCCAGGCGAGACGCUCGGCUCCCCUCGCCUUCCCCUCCGGCGCUCCGCUCUCCUCUUGCGCGGCUCCUUUCGGCAGGCGCGUCCCGGGCGGAGGAGGAGGAGGAGGAGGAGGAGGAGGAAGAGGGCGCUGGAUUGGCGAGCGCACGGACAUCCCGGGACACAAAGGGCCCCUUUCCACUCGAGGCCGGCGCCUCUGGGCCGCUCGGGUGACCCCCAAGGCAGGUGGUGGGAGUCAGCGAAAUUGUCAGCCGCCUUCGCCCCCACCUUUGCCAGCCUCCCCCGCGGGCCUGCGUGAGAUGAUGGACGCGAGGCUUUCGUGCAAGAUGGUGGGAGAGGCAUUUGGGGGGCGGGCAGGAUGGCCAGUCUAGGGGAAAGAAGGGGGGGGGAACAUGAGAGCAGUCGUCCAGUAUUUAAGGGGCCGCCACAAAGAAGAGGAGGGGGUCAACUGAUUCUCCAAAGCACCAGAAGGCAGGAAGGGAAACAACGGAUGGAAGCCACUCAAGGAGAGAAGCAUCCUGGAAUUCAGGAGAAACUUCCUAACAGUGAAGACAAUUAACCAGUGGAACAGAAGUUGCCACCAGAAGUUGUGGGAGCUUCAUCUCUGGAGGCUUUUAAGAAGAGACUGGACAGCCAUUUGUCUGAAAUGGUCUGUUGGCAAGCUAUGAAGCAGUAAAAGUGAAAGCAGACUGAAUACACUUUGAAGCUUCGGGAAGCAAAAGUUUAGGAAGACUGCCCUGAAUUCGCGGAAGCAGUCAGUAUAAAAGGAUUGUAGAAACAAACAAAGAAAUAAUGACAUUUCCACCAUUGGCCUCAUUUGUGUAAUACCAUAACUGACAAUGUUACAACAUUCAUAUCAAUUUACUUCACUUUGGUAAAAAUGACAUAAGAAUAUCAACAAGUACAGAAAGAAUGCCAAUUUCACAACUCAUGAUUUAACACAUGUUUGGCUUUAAUAGCCACCCCUUCAUCCCAAAGGGCCUGUUAAAUUGAGGCUUCCUUGUAUUAUUAACAGCUUUAGUUUCCCAGACAGGGAUAUUUUGCAGAGGAAGGAUUGAACGUAUGUAAAAUCCAAUUGAUACUCAUUGCUUCAUUUGAAGAAGUUGUGGGUUUCUUCACCUGAUAUGAAAAGAACAUGAAAAUGCUCACCAGGGCCCUCUCCUGGAAGUCCACCAUUGAAGCACAGAGACUAUUAAUGGUCCUGAGUAUUUCUGCUUUGUUUUCAUCAACAGUCCUGAUCUUUAAGAAAGAUCUGGUUGAUGUUAGAACGGAGAACAUAGCAGAUGGAAGCAAAACUGCCAGGCAGGCGAAGGCUUGUGGGGGGUGGGGGUGUUGGGUUGAAGAAGACUUUGCCAUGGCCCAGCUCAUUUUCCCUAAAGCAAAGUGUAAAUUUAACCAAUAGAUUCCUACUUUGUACAAAUCAGAAGGGAAACCGAAUCUAUUUAUUUUGGAAAGUGCAAGUUAGAUUUGUAUUAAAAUGUGUACUAAGCAGAUUUCUGUACUGUUCUAUUGGUAUUUGGCCCCAAAUCAUCCAUAAACACUGUGGUUGCAGAAGGGAUGUGGAGACGAAUCUUUCCAGCCCUCUGACUCUGCAUCGCCCUGGCUGGGAUUAACUCGGAGGUCUCCUUGCCACAAGACGCAUGAUGGACAGGAGCUGACCUGGAGGAGACCAAAGCUCUCCACAACAGAGCUUUUGCUGCUGUGUGCAACACCCCCCAAAGUUCCGCUCAGUGCAAGAAGGGAGAAGCAGAGCUUGUGGGGGGCACUCAGAUUCGAAAACAUCUCCUUGGCUGCUCCUUGAUAUGGACCGAGUAGACACUCAUUCUUACCCAGAAGCACAUUCUUCACAUUUCUUAGUGGGCUGUGUGUGUGGUUGUGGGUAUUAAAAGCACAACAUUAGGAAAGAAAAUGCCGUAUAUAUUUGGAUAUUGUUAGGAAAGAAAAUCCAACAGGAUUCCUGUGUUCUCUUCGCUGACAAUGUCAAACUAUUCAACACUACAAAUAAUACAGCUACUCUUCAAAAAGACCUUGACUUUUGUAUAGAGCAGAACGAGGGAAAUUUGGUAAAGCAAAUUAGAAAUCAGUCUCAGGAGCAUAUAAAGAGAUUGUAUAAUGUGUUACUUGAAAUAGAUUCUGAAAGGGACUUGGUAAAGGACUGUAUGAUAAAGUGGGCACAAAAUUUUCAGGAGCCAAUAUUAUUGGAAACUUGGGAAAAAAUUUGGGUUAGAA